rnacentral:lncRNA from 10 species
AGACUGUCGGCGCUGAAGGAGCUCAGCAGCAGAGCCAGGAACAGUUACCCGCAGGAAGUGACCAAGUGCCAUAGGUGCAGGGGAUGCGGGUCCUCACACUCUCUGGCAGGGUGCCCUGGUGGCCUCUGGCAGACACCUGCUUCUCUGAAGCCUGGGGAGGUGGUGGGAGGGGACAGUGCCCAAGGAGCUGACAGUGCCACCUCCCUGGGCCGUUCCACUCCCUCUGAGCAAACUGGGAGAGCCACAGAGCUGGGCUGGGAAAGGAUGUCAGUGGUGUGUUCGUGUGUGCAUGUCUGUGUGAUAGGGGUGACAGGCACACAGAAGCAGGGCCUGUACUGGUUCCAGACUCUGCAGCCAGAUUGCAGGGGCUCCCGUCCCACACACGGGACAGACUCACCUCCCUGAGCCCCUGUUUCCUCAUCUAUAAAACAUGAACCAGCGCGCCCCUCACAGGUGGGCGUGAGGAUGAGGUGAAAUGAAUACAUGUGAAGCACCCAGAAUGCUGGGUAAAUGCUAAAUAAAUGUCAGCUGUCACCAUGCUUCUGCUGAUGCUGACGUUAUCAUUAUUACGAUACUGUUGUCAUUGAUGUUAUCGUUACUGGAGU